AACGAACGCUGGCGGCAUGCCUAAUACAUGCAAGUCGAACGAUCUCUUCGGAGGUAGUGGCGCACGGGUGCGUAACGCGUGGGAAUCUGCCCUUGGGUUCGGAAUAACGUCGGGAAACUGACGCUAAUACCGGAUGAUGACGUAAGUCCAAAGAUUUAUCGCCCAGGGAUGGGCCCGCGUAGGAUUAGCUAGUUGGUGGGGUAAAGGCCUACCAAGGCGACGAUCCUUAGCUGGUCUGAGAGGAUGAUCAGCCACACUGGGACUGAGACACGGCCCAGACUCCUACGGGAGGCAGCAGUAAGGAAUAUUGGACAAUGGGGGCAACCCUGAUCCAGCAAUGCCGCGUGAGUGAUGAAGGCCUUAGGGUUGUAAAGCUCUUUUACCCGGGAUGAUAAUGACAGUACCGGGAGAAUAAGCCCCGGCUAACUCCGUGCCAGCAGCCGCCGUAA
rnacentral:rRNA from 1 species